rnacentral:rRNA from 1 species
GAUGAACGCUGGCGGCGUGCCUAAUACAUGCAAGUCGAGCGAAUGGAUUAAGAGCUUGCUCUUAUGAAGUUAGCGGCGGACGGGUGAGUAACACGUGGUAACCUGCCCAUAAGACUGGGAUAACUCCGGGAAACCGGGGCUAAUACCGGAUAACAUUUUGAACCGCAUGGUUCGAAAUUGAAAGGCGGCUUCGGCUGUCACUUAUGGAUGGACACGCGUCGCAUUAGCUAGUUGGUGAGGUAACGGCUCACCAAGGCAACGAUGCGUAGCCGACCUGAGAGGGUGAUCGGCCACCCUGGGACUGAGACACGGCCCAGACUCCUACGGGGGGCAGCAGUAGGGAAUCUUCCGCAAUGGACGAAAGUCUGACGGAGCAACGCCGCGUGAGUGAUGAAGGCUUUCGGGUCGUAAAACUCUGUUGUUAGGGAAGAACAAGUGCUAGUUGAAUAAGCUGGCACCUUGACGGUACCUAACCAGAAAGCCACGGCUAACUACGUGCCAGCAGCCGCAGUAA